GAUGAACGCUGGCGGCGUGCCUAAUACAUGCAAGUCGAGCGAACAGAUAAGGAGCUUGCUCCUUUGACGUUAGCGGCGGACGGGUGAGUAACACGUGGGUGACCUACCUAUAAGACUGGGAUAACUUCGGUAAACCGGAGCUAAUACCGGAUAACAUUUGGAACCGCAUGGUUCUAAAGUGAAAGAUGGUUUUGCUAUCACUUAUAGAUGGACCCGCGCCGUAUUAGCUAGUUGGUAAGGUAACGGCUUACCAAGGCGACGAUACGUAGCCGACCUGAGAGGGUGAUCGGCCACACUGGAACUGAGACACGGUCCAGACUCCUACGGGAGGCAGCAGUAGGGAAUCUUCCGCAAUGGGCGAAAGCCUGACGGAGCAACGCCGCGUGAGUGAUGAAGGGUUUCGGCUCGUAAAACUCUGUUAUUAGGGAAGAACAAAUGUGUAAGUAACUGUGCACGUCUUGACGGUACCUAAUCAGAAAGCCACGGCUAACUACGUG
rnacentral:rRNA from 1 species